rnacentral:rRNA from 1 species
UAGGGAAUAUUGGUAAUGUGCGAAAGCGCGAACCAGCAACGCCGCGUGCACGAUGAAGGCCUUCGGGUUGUAAAGUGCUUUUUAGAGGGAUGAGGAAGGACAGUACUUCUAGAAUAAGCCUCGGCUAACUACGUGCCAGCAGCCGCGGUAAAACGUAGGAGGCAAGCGUUAUCCGGAUUUACUGGGCGUAAAGCGCGUGUAGGCGGUUUCGUAAGUUGGAUGUGAAAGCUCCUAGCUUAACUGGGAGAGGUCGUUCAAGACUGCGAGACUCGAGAGUGGUAGAGGAAGGUUGAAUUCCGGGUGUAGUGGUGAAAUGCGUAGAUAUCCGAAGGAACACCAGUGGCGAAAGCGGCCUUCUGGACCAUUUCUGACGCUUAGACGCGAAAGCUAAGGUAGCAAACG